UACGUAGGGUGCAAGCGUUGUCCGGAAUUAUUGGGCGUAAAGAGCUCGUAGGCGGUCUGUUGCGUCGGCUGUGAAAACCCGGGGCUCAACUCCGGGCCUGCAGCCGAUACGGGCAGACUAGAGUUCGGCAGGGGAGACUGGAAUUCCUGGUGUAGCGGUGAAAUGCGCAGAUAUCAGGAGGAACACCGGUGGCGAAGGCGGGUCUCUGGGCCGAUACUGACGCUGAGGAGCGAAAGCGUGGGGAGCAAACUGG
rnacentral:rRNA from 1 species